CAGCAGCCGCGGUAAUACGUAGGUGGCAAGCGUUGUCCAGAAUUAUUGGGCGUAAAGGGCUCGCAGGCGGUUUCUUAAGUCUGAUGCGAAAGCCCCCGGCCCAACCGGGGAGGGUCAUUGGAAACUGGGAAACUUGAGUGCAGAAGAGGAGAGUGGAAUUCCACGUGUAGCGGUGAAAUGCGUAGAGAUGUGGAGGAACACCAGUGGCGAAGGCGACUCUCUGGUCUGUAACUGACGCUGAGGAGCGAAAGCGUGGGGAGCGAACAGGAUUAGAUACCCCCGUAGUCCCUGUCUCUUAUAC
rnacentral:rRNA from 1 species